rnacentral:misc_RNA from 1 species
ACAGAGCUGCUAUUCUUACUGGUCGGAUGGUGUAGCUCUAUAGUGAAGGGCGCAUGUCCAGACGGUACCUUUACUUACGGAAACUCGUGCUACCUUGAAUUCAAUAUCCGGGCAACGUGGGCUGAGGCCUCCGUAAGUCGUCCGUCAAAUAGACAAACCACAGUUGCAUAUGCCGGAAAACUGCAGUGUCACUUUUCCCGCCUUGUGUCAAUUGUGACGUCUGCACUCUGUGGCGCUAGCCGCCAGCAAGGAUGGUCUAUUUAUCAUUUAAAAAAAAUAAAAUUUGUUUCAAAUGUUUGCAUCACAGACAAAUUUUAGUGAUAGAUAUAAUGAUAUAGUUAAUGUUGUCAGAAAUAGUGUCGGGAAACAACAUUUUGUCUUCUGUACACAUUGACACGGUGUGGUGUUUUUUUAAUGUCAGAUCAUAUGCCGGGCGUAUGACGGUUACUUGGCCAACAUCAACGAUAUUCAUGAACAACACGUGAUAGAAACCGUCGUCUCCAGGAACAUAGGUAAAUCCAGGCAUGGUCCAUAUUACUGUCAAAACUGAUUCUGGUAUCAAUAUGUUUGCAACAAUUUAAUAAUGAUGGUAGAAGUGAUUUUUUUAGUCCUGAUAUAAUAUUUUUACAACACUAUAGGGCCUAUAACAGUUCACAACAAUUUGUUAUACAAUAUACUUUUGCAUAAACUAAGAUACAAAAGGGAUUUGUGCCCAUCACCAGUACCGAGACCAUUAGUUCACAAUUCUGCUUUUGACGAAGAAUUCAUACUGUUGAAGUCGUUUUUGGCAGGAGGCUUCAGCCCCGGGAUUUUCUGGCUGGGAGGGACGGACGUCCAGAUCGAGGGUGAGUGGGUCUGGACGGGUAACGUGCAGGCCAUGGGCAGCUACAAGAACUGGGCCCCCGGGGAACCCAACAACGCUAACGGUAACGAACACUGCCUGGAGAUGGACAUGGGGGGACAAUACCAUUGGAACGACAACAACUGUGAAAACAGAUUCAACUUCAUCUGUGAAAUGCCGACGGCUGAUCCAGGUAUAGGCGCUGGUGGCCAGGGUGUCAUUGGCUAAAUAACCACCCACCCACAGGUCAAUCAGCCCUGAUAUUUCCUAUUUUUAAUCCAUGAUAUAUGAAGCUGUUUGGAUAGAGAAAUGUGGCCCAUGUUUUUUUGUUCAACUGGUGCAUUUGAUAAAACUAUGAGCCACUUGAAAUAAACAAAAUUAAACCUU